rnacentral:rRNA from 1 species
AGUGAACGCUGGCGGUAGGCCUAACACAUGCAAGUCGAACGGCAGCACAGUAAGAGCUUGCUCUUACGGGUGGCGAGUGGCGGACGGGUGAGGAAUACAUCGGAAUCUACUUUUUCGUGGGGGCUAACGUAGGGAAACUUACGCUAAUACCGCAUACGACCUACGGGUGAAAGCAGGGGAUCUUCGGACCUUGCGCGAUUGAAUGAGCCGAUGUCGGAUUAGCUAGUUGGCGGGGUAAAGGCCCACCAAGGCGACGAUCCGUAGCUGGUCUGAGAGGAUGAUCAGCCACACUGGAACUGAGACACGGUCCAGACUCCUACGGGAGGCAGCAGUGGGGAAUAUUGGACAAUGGGCGAAAGCCUGAUCCAGCCAUACCGCGUGGGUGAAGAAGGCCUUCGGGUUGUAAAGCCCUUUUGUUGGGAAAGAAAAGCAGCAGGUUAAUACCCCGCUGUUCUGACGGUACCAAAAGAAUAAGCACCGGCUAACUUCGUG